rnacentral:tRNA from 1 species
GGGGAAUUAGCUCAAAUGGUAAAGCGCUGGCUUUGCAUGUGAAAGUGGUGGGAUCGAUGCCCACAUUCUCCA